UACGGAGGGUGUAAGCGUUAUCCGGAUUUACUGGGUUUAAAGGGUGUGUAGGCGGACUAUUUAAGUCCGUGGUGAAAUCUCCGGGCUCAACCCGGAAACUGCCAUGGAUACUAUUAGUCUUGAAUGUUGUGGAGGUGGGCGGAACGGGUCAUGUAGCGGUGAAAUGCUUAGAGAUGACCCGGAACACCGAUUGCGAAGGCAGCCCACUACGCAACUAUUGACGCUGAGGCACGAAAGCGUGGGGAUCAAACAGG
rnacentral:rRNA from 1 species